UGUGUGUGUGUGUGUGUUAGAGUAGCCUACAGUGAUUACGCAUCUCGAGCGCGUCCCCGGUGGCGCAGAGCGUGUCACCCGCCGCUGUAGGCGGAGGCGAGCCCGUUUGCCCGUGAUAUUAAUAUCUUUUACCGCUAUUCCAAUCCCCGAAUCAGUUCGCAAGUAUUUGCUCGUUCGCCGCUUGUGUUGUCCUGCAUUUGCAAACACUGGACAGCAACUUAACCUGUUUGUGUUGACAGCUGCUGAAGUCCUGUGCAAUGUCUCGUCGAAAACAGGCGAAGCCCAGAUAUCUGAAAGGUCAAGAUAGAACGUUAAAUACAGAGGAAGAUAGCAUGAUAGUGGGGAAGAAACAUUGCUCCUGGGAGAGGAGAAAAGAAAACAAUGAGGAAAGGGAAAGAACUGAAAAAGAGAAGGAUGCAGAUGCUAAAGAGCACAAAUGUGCAAGCCUACAACAACCAGAAUCAUUCACCCAACAGAGACUGAAGUACUGCCACAGUACAGACGGAUUAAAAGGAAUAAAGACUUCUAGGGUUUUAUAUUCAGGGUUUAGUGUUUCUGCAUGUUUCUGUGACCUUUAAAUGAGCAAAUCAUAAUGUGGAGAAAGAUGAAGCAUGGUGUUU